GUGCUUGCUUCGGCAGUACAUAUACUAAAAUUGGAACAAUACAGAUUAGAUUAGCAUGGCCCCUGCACAGAGAUGACAUGCAAAUUAAUGAAGUGUUCCAUAUUUCU